rnacentral:rRNA from 1 species
ACAGGUGCUGCAUGGCUGUCGUCAGCUCGUGUUCGUGAGAUGUUGGGUUAAGUCCCGUAACGAGCGCAACCCUUGUCCUUAGUUACCAGCACGUUAUGGUGGGCACUCUAAGGAGACUGCCGGUGACAAACCGGAGGAAGGUGGGGAUGACGUCAAGUCAUCAUGGCCCUUACGGCCUGGGCUACACACGUGCUACAAUGGUCGGUACAAAGGGUUGCCAAGCCGCGAGGUGGAGCUAAUCCCAUAAAACCGAUCGUAGUCCGGAUCGCAGUCUGCAACUCGACUGCGUGAAGUCGGAAUCGCUAGUAAUCGUGAAAUCAGAAUGUCACGGUGAAUACGUUCCCGGGCCUU